AUACGUAGGGGGCGAGCGUUGUCCGGAAUGACUGGGCAUAAAGGGCGUGUAGGCGGCCGAUUAAGUCUGGAGUGAAAGUCCUGGAUUCAAUUUGGGAAUUGCUUUGGAUACUGGUUGGCUUGAGUGCGGAAGAGGUAAGUGGAAUUCCAUGUGUAGCGGUAAAAUGCGUAGAUAUAUGGAGGAACACCGGUGGCGAAGGCGGCUAGCUGGGCCGUAACUGACGCUGAGGCACGAAAGCGUGGGGAGCAAAUAGGAUUAGAUACCCUAGUAGUCCACGCCGUAAACGAUGAAUACUAAGUGUUGGAGAAAUUCAGUGCUGCAGUUAACGCAAUAAGUAUUCCGCCUGGGGAGUAUGCACGCAAGUGUGAAACUCAAAGGAAUUGACGGGG
rnacentral:rRNA from 1 species